rnacentral:lncRNA from 1 species
AGCAACUAUAGUGACCAUAGUGGUCCUAAUUUACUAAGCCUAUACUAGGUCUACCCGCCCCCCAAUGUCGAAGCAAUAAUAAAAUAACAUAUAAAACAAUAAAAAAAACAAGGUAAUUAAAUCAAACACAAUCAUUUGUUGGGAGAAGAUCCUUAAGAAAUAAUCAAUUUCUAUCCCAAAGGGAGAAGAUCCUUAAGAAAUUGAUUAAAUCUAUCCCACAAUAUAUAAUAACAUAUCAUUUCAUCCGAAACAGUAAAUCAAUUUAAAAUUAAUCUAAUUAACAAAUUUCAUCCGAAACAGUAAAUCAAUUUAAAAUUAAUCUAAUUAACAUAUCAUUUCAUCCGAAACAGUAAAUCAAUUUAUAUUAGCAUACUUAAUUUAACAAAAUAAUAGUAAAUCAAUUUAAAAUUAAUCUAAUUAACAAAUUUCAAUUAAUCAUACUUUAAACAUCCUAU